rnacentral:rRNA from 1 species
AUUGAACGCUGGCGGCAUGCCUAACACAUGCAAGUCGAACGAGUGGCGGAGGGGUGAGUGAUGUCUGGGAAAGUGCCUGAUGGAGGGGGAUAACUACUGGAAACGGUAGCUAAUACCGCAUACCAUCAGAUGUGCCCAGAGGGGAUUAGCUUGUUGGUGGGGUAACGGCUCACCAAGGCGACGAUCCCUAGCUGGGCUGAGAGGAUGACCAGCCACACUGGAACUGAGACACGGCCCAGACUCCUACGGGAGGCAGCAGUGGGGAAUCUUGCACAAUGGGCGCAAGCCUGAUGCAGCCAUGCCGCGUGUAUGAAGAAGGCUUUCGGGUUGUAAAGUACUUUCAGCGGGGAGGCGUUACCCGCAGAAGAAGCACCGGCUAACUCCGUGCCAGCAGCCGCGGUAAUAC